rnacentral:sRNA from 1 species
AGAAAAGCUGUCUGUGAAAUUAAAGGAAGAAGAACGAAUGGUUGAGAUGUUUCUGGAAUAUCAAAAUCAGAUCAGCAGGCAAAAUAAGCUCAUUCAAGAAAAAAAGGAUAACUUGUUAAAAUUGAUUGCUGAAGUAAAAGACAAAAAACAGGAAUUGGAAGUACUGACUGCAAAUAUCCAGGAUCUUAAGGAAGAAUAUUCUAGGAAGAAGGAAACUAUUUCUACUGCCAAUAAAGCGAAUGCAGAGAGGUUGAAAAGGCUGCAGAAAUCUGCAGACUUGUAUAAAGAUCGACUUGGACUAGAAAUUCGAAAAAUUUAUGGUGAGAAAUUGCAGUUUAUAUUCACUAAUAUUGACCCUAAGAAUCCUGAGAGCCCAUUUAUGUUUUCCUUGCAUCUCAAUGAAGCAAGGGACUAUGAAGAGAAGACAUACAAGAAAAAAAGGAGCAGAGGCUGAUGCCAAGAGAAAACUCUUCUCUUUUGGAACAAAGCACAUUCAUGUGCUA